rnacentral:rRNA from 1 species
AUUGAACGCUGGCGGCAGGCCUAACACAUGCAAGUCGAACGAGUGGCGGACGGGUGAGUAAUUUCUGGGAACCUGCCUGCUGGAGGGGGAUCACUACUGGAAACGGUAGCUCAUACCGCAUACCAUCAGAUGUGCCCAGAGGGGAUUAGCUUGUUGGUGGGGGAACGGCUCACCAAGGCGACGAUCCCUAGCUGGUCUGAGAGGAUGACCAGGCACACUGGGACUGAGACACGGUCCAGAAUCCUACGGGAGGCAGCAGGGGGGAAUAUUGAAAAAUGGGCGAAAGCCUGAUGCAGCAAUGCCGCGUGUAUGAAGAAGGCCUUCGGGUUGUAAAGUACUUUCAGCGGGGAGGCGUUACCCGCAGAAGAAGCACCGGCUAACUCCGUGCCAGCAGCCGCGGUAAUUC